GGGGGAUUAGCUCAGUUGGGAGAGCGUUUGCAUGGCAUGCAAAAGGUCAGGGGUUCGAAUCCCCUAUCCUCCACCA
rnacentral:tRNA from 2 species